AUUGAACGCUGGCGGCAGGCCUAACACAUGCAAGUCGAGCGGGGUUUUCGGACCUAGCGGCGGACGGGUGAGUAAUGCGUAGGAAGCUGCCCGAUAGAGGGGGAUACCAGUUGGAAACGACUGUUAAUACCGCAUAAUGUCUACGGACCAAAGUGUGGGACCUUCGGGCCACAUGCUAUCGGAUGCGCCUACGUGGGAUUAGCUAGUUGGUGAGGUAAUGGCUCACCAAGGCGACGAUCUCUAGCUGGUUUGAGAGGAUGAUCAGCCACACUGGAACUGAGACACGGUCCAGACUCCUACGGGAGGCAGCAGUGGGGAAUAUUGGACAAUGGGCGCAAGCCUGAUCCAGCCAUGCCGCGUGUGUGAAGAAGGCCUUAGGGUUGUAAAGCACUUUCAGCGAGGAGGAAGGGGUUGUAGUUAAUAGCUGCAAUCUUUGACGUUACUCGCAGAAGAAGCACCGGCUAACUCUGUGCCAGCAGCCG
rnacentral:rRNA from 1 species